AACAGCACCAUUGACUUCUCUCCGAACAAAACUCACAUUAGAGUGUACUAAAUCGGUAUCUAGCAAGUGUCUACAAUCGGUACCCAGCACCAUUUAUUGUUUCUUUAGAUAUACAUAUACCACAUGGUAGUAGUUCCCAGGAACUAUCGUCUCUUUUCAGAAGCCUUCAACUGUCUAAAGAUGGAAAAAUCAUUUUGGAUUCUUUUUACGCCACACUUUCUAAGGAUUUGGCAUCGACUUCAGCUACUUCAUCAGUAUCAAAAGAUUCCUUAAAGUAUGAUCUAUUUAACAUUGGAAUGAAUUGCAAGAACACCAAUAAUCUCACAGACAUUUUACAGGUUUGUCUUCUCUCGUCUCUACUUUUUUAUUCACUACCUCAUUAUUUUGGUAAUUUAAUUAUUACUUUUUUAUUCACU
rnacentral:lncRNA from 1 species